CCUACGGGAGGCAGCAGUAGGGAAUCUUCCGCAAUGGACGAAAGUCUGACGGAGCAACGCCGCGUGAACGAUGAAGGCCUUCGGGUCGUAAAGUUCUGUUGUUAGGGAAGAACAAGUGCUAGUUAAAUAAGCUGGCACCUUGACGGUACCUAACCAGAAAGCCACGGCUAACUACGUGCCAGCAGCCGCGGUAAUACGUAGGUGGCAAGCGUUGUCCGGAAUUAUUGGGCGUAAAGCGCGCGCAGGCGGUUUCUUAAGUCUGAUGUGAAAGCCCCCGGCUCAACCGGGGAGGGUCAUUGGAAACUGGGAAACUUGAGUGCAGAAGAGGAAAGUGGAAUUCCAAGUGUAGCGGUGAAAUGCGUAGAGAUUUGGAGGAACACCAGUGGCGAAGGCGACUUUCUGGUCUGUAACUGACGCUGAGGCGCGAAAGCGUGGGGAGCAAACAGGAUUAGAUACCCUGGUAGUCCACGCUGUAAACGAUGAGUGCUAAGUGUUAGAGGGUUUCCGCCCUUUAGUGCUGAAGUUAACGCAUUAAGCACUCCGCCUGGGGAUACGGUCGCAAGACUGAAACUCAAAUGAAUUGACCGG
rnacentral:rRNA from 1 species